AAUAAUAUAUUAAUAUUUGCUCAUUUUUUUAAACAAGGAGAAGAAGAAGAAUGUUUAUUUUCUCUGUUGGAGCGAGAAGGAAGCUUCUUUUGUAUCUCACAAUGGAGAAUUAUGUUUACUUUCUGCUCUUGUGUGAUCUCGACAUGUGUAUUUACUGUAAAAGAUUCUCUUCUUUAACAAAACUUAAAGAGAAUCUUAUCUUAUUUUCAAUAAAAUCACUGAAUUGAGGAGCAAUUAUAUAUAUAAUUUAAUUUUUUUUUCUUGUAGAGUCUGUUGCUAGACCAGUUUCUGGAUCGUGUGAUCAGUUAAAGUGCAGUCACGAAGCGAUAUGUCGAGAAAAAAAGGGUCGUGCUCAGUGUGUAUGCGAUAUUAAGUGUACAUCCGAGGAAUCUCCAAAUCCAGUAUGCGGAUCGGAUGGUGUAACUUAUGGUUCCGAGUGCCAAAUGAGGUUGUUCAGCUGCAGAUACCAGAAAGCUAUCACCGUCCUUAGUUAUGUGCCUUGUAAAGCAGAUGAUGUAAUAAUAAAGCGUUCGAUCGUCGAGAUGUCCAAAUCGAAAAAAUGGCAGUCGUAUAGUCUUCCAGAUAAUUAAACAAAAGUUAUCGCGGCCAAAACUCAUAAAGGGCCGCAAAUAGAAGUGUUUACCAGACUUUGCAAUGUUAUUCGGAUGCAUCGUUAUCUAGAAAAAAAGAAGUCACAGCUCUGUCCUCGCUGCACUUUAUCGCUGUUCAUCAUCACCAUCAGGGAGCCAUGUCUAUAACGAUGCUAAAGAAGCACGAUUAGACGUCUUUAAAGGUGAUCAAAGUGGACGAUUCCUCCCGAAACUUCACGUGUUGUUGGAGACGACAUGAGGAUGAACAACGGAUUUCUAGACAACACACCUGCCUCACAAUCAUAUCGUGUACAGAUUUAUGUAUAAAUAUUGUUGCUUAAGCUGCCUUCGAGUUGGAAGCUUCGAGGAAAGUACUCUGAAAACCAAAAAAACUCAAUUUAUAAUUGCCAAAUCUUGUUUAUAACUUGAAGAACUUUUAUACCAAUUAAAAAGUAUAUAUAUAUAAGAAAAUAAUUAAAAAUUGACGGGAAUGUGUAGAAAAAUUCGUUUAC